rnacentral:rRNA from 1 species
UACGUAGGUCCCGAGCGUUGUCCGGAUUUAUUGGGCGUAAAGCGAGCGCAGGUGGUUUAUUAAGUCUGGUGUAAAAGGCAGUGGCUCAACCAUUGUAUGCAUUGGAAACUGGUAGACUUGAGUGCAGGAGAGGAGAGUGGUAUUCCAUGUGUAGCGGUGAAAUGCGUAGAUAUAUGGAGGAACACCGGUGACGAAAGCGGCUCUCUGGCCUGUAACUGACACUGAGGCUCGAAAGCGUGGGGAGCAAACAGG